rnacentral:rRNA from 1 species
UACGUAGGGGGCAAGCGUUGUCCGGAAUUAUUGGGCGUAAAGCGCGUGUAGGCGGCUCGGUAAGUCUGCUGUGAAAGUCCAGGGCUCAACCCUGGAAUGCCGGUGGAUACUGUCGAGCUCGAGUCCGGAAGAGGCGAGUGGAAUUCCUGGUGUAGCGGUGGAAUGCGCAGAUAUCAGGAGGAACACCAAUGGCGAAGGCAGAUCUCUGGGCCGUAACUGACGCUGAGGAGCGAAAGCAUGGGGAGCGAACGGG